GCCCUUGUGGCGCAAUGGUAGCGCAUUGGACUUCUAAUUCAAAGGUUGUGGGUUCGAGUCCCAUCGGGGGUG